UACGUAGGGUGCGAACGUUAAUCGGAAUUACUGGGCGUAAAGCGUGCGCAGGCGGUUUUGUAAGACAGAGGUGAAAUCCCCGGGCUCAACCUGGGAACUGCCUUUGUGACUGCAAGGCUUGAGUGCGGCAGAGGGGGAUGGAAUUCCGCGUGUAGCAGUGAAAUGCGUAGAUAUGCGGAGGAACACCGAUGGCGAAGGCAAUCCCCUGGGCCUGCACUGACGCUCAUGCACGAAAGCGUGGGGAGCAAACAGG
rnacentral:rRNA from 1 species